AGAACGAACGCUGGCGGCAUGCCUAACACAUGCAAGUCGAACGAGACCUUUCGGGGUCUAGUGGCGCACGGGUGCGUAACGCGUGGGAAUCUGCCCCUUGGUUCGGAAUAACAGUUAGAAAUGACUGCUAAUACCGGAUGACGACGUAAGUCCAAAGAUUUAUCGCCGAGGGAUGAGCCCGCGUAGGAUUAGCUAGUUGGUGAGGUAAUGGCUCACCAAGGCGACGAUCCUUAGCUGGUCUGAGAGGAUGAUCAGCCACACUGGGACUGAGACACGGCCCAGACUCCUACGGGAGGCAGCAGUGGGGAAUAUUGGACAAUGGGCGAAAGCCUGAUCCAGCAAUGCCGCGUGAGUGAUGAAGGCCUUAGGGUUGUAAAGCUCUUUUACCAGGGAUGAUAAUGACAGUACCUGGAGAAUAAGCUCCGGCUAACUCCGUGCCAGCAGCCGC
rnacentral:rRNA from 1 species